GGGGGGGGGGCAGCCCCCCCUUUGCCCGGGCUGGCAGUGCCCCACUCACCAGGUGCCUGGGGAGGGGACGGGGACAGGGAUGGGGACAGGGCGGGCGGCCUGGGCAGGGGCGGCCCGUGGCCACAGUAGCGGAGCGGGCAGGCCAAGCACGUUUUGCAACUUCAGGCCAGGAUGCAGGUUUUUCUGGGGCCUCUUUACUGAUGGGAAACCCAACCUGCUACGAAUACGAUGUGGGUGAGGCGGUAUCUCAUUGUGGUGAAAGAUGGUGCAAUAAGAGCGAUUAAUUUUUUUGCAGAAAUACUCACUGUAUUUUCAUCUGUGGCAAGUCCUCUCACAGAGCCUGCAAUCUACCCGAGAACAGGGAGCAGAGACAAAGCACUUGUUUACCAAGUCUGAGCUUGCGGUUGAGAGGAAGGACUGGCAGAACACUUUGUUUUUAACAUCUCUGGCUAAAACCUGCACUGUGCCCCUUUACAUCUCAAACAAUGAUAAAGUGCAGCAGUGGGACAGUAGCAACCUGUGCCAUKUGCUGCCAGAUAGAGAGAGAUGCAGUUAAUUUACAACACAACCCCAGUCAUCGUCCUGCCAACGUUUGCACGCUACCUGAGGUGAUGCUGGACUGUUCAAGCGAUUUCAGUUUGCCUUUCCUCUGGCCACUUUUCAAACAAGCUGGGAAGCCCUUCGUUGGAAGGAUGUCAAAAGAGAACCAGCUGUCCUCUGGGAGGCCUCUGGGAUGUAGUACCAUGGCAAACCAUGCUGAGACAUGGGACACUUAGCAGGUUUGACUUCUCUGGAGCUUUGCAUUGCACCCACAUUAUGCAAAGUGUCUUCCUGACUUUGAGGAGAGGCUUCUGGCUCACUCGCUCUGGAGCUCCGGUCCUGCAAGGAUGCAGUCACAGGCUUUUCUUCCCAUAUAUGGGUAGCUGUUCCGCAUUAAAGUUACGACUGUGGAGUUAAGCAUGUGUAUAAAUGUUUGUAGAAACUGGGCUUUGGGAUAAUAAGGAUCAUGAGUCUCAAAAUGGCCUCUUUUGAGUAUUUUGCGGGCAAAUGUGAGUUUGUCCUGCUCAUUCUCCAAGGAAAACCCAGCUUUGCAGAUAGGUCCGUUGUUAG
rnacentral:lncRNA from 1 species